ensembl:lncRNA
UAAGCACAUGACCCACACCAGGAAUCAUCCCUCCCUUCAUAGAUACAUGCAGCUUUAUUCUAUUGCAGUGUGUAGCAUCAGACAACAAAAGAAAAUCAAUUCAAAUACCAAAAAAAACAUAGAAAUAGAACUGAUAUUUAUUGGUCCUUUUAUUCAGACGUUCUAUGUUGCUUUCUCUGACAGUAAUGCUAUUACACACAAUGAUGAUUUAUGUAGGGUAUCCCAGCACUGCAUUGCAUUAGCUUCCUCUGUUCCAGUAUGGAUCUGCCUGUGACGUAGUUGUUCACCUGUGGCGACCUCAUGUGUUCUUAAAAAAUGUAGUGAGUAGUAGACAUGACUGGGGUAGAGGAGAUGGUAGGAUAACUCCCUGGGGGACUCGCAGGACAAGAGGAACCUUUGCUCGCCUUGUCGUCGUAAUGGGGGGUGCCACUUACCUUAAUGAGCCUCUCAAAGAAGAAUACCAAUAGCCUGACACAGGUGACAGCAGCAUGCUGGGAAAUCAGAGAGAAACUGGGGAGAGAGUGAGAGAUUGGGGGGGGAUAUGUUGCCAGAAAUGCUACAGCCUACACAUCCUGUUUAAACACUACAUCUUUUCCCAGCCUCUACAUCACUGCCCAGUUCUGAAGCCCCAAAUACUGAUAAAGAGUAGUUUAAUACUAACAUCCAAUGGGUUUACUUUGCUUUUUUUGACUAACAUCCCUUUAUUUAUCCUUAUUCAUUUGUAAACAAGACAGAACUUUGUAGAGCAUUACUUAAAAGUAGCGCAUUAAGGUUUUGUCUUCCUCUGAAGUUCAUGUUCUGGAACAUUUCCACAACCUUCUGCCAUUAUGUUUAUGUGUGAUAAGCUCAUUCUUACAACCUUUUGACGAGAUAGAUGUUCAGAGGAGGAGUAUAGAGAGAGAUAGGGAGAAAGAGGGGGAGUUGUUGAGGAAGAACAUGUUGUGGAAUGUUUGCUGUUCUGCGCCUGAACUCAUUUGUCAAGGCUUGACCUCCGCUGGGAUGCCUCGGGUCAACGGGGGUCACCUGAGGUAAACUUGCCGUGUGGUCACACACACACACAAACACAGAAUCACAAACGCAUAUACAAAUGAAAAUCUAAGUGAAGGAGAGGCACAAAUAUGUCAAAAUCCUUUUGCCCAGCACAGUAUAAUACAGCUGCACAUUCAUUUCUAAAUAUGACAAUAAGAACAUUGACAAUAAAACACUAAUGGCAUCACAAAUACAUUAGGUCUUGAGAAUGUUAUUUCAUGUAUAACUUCUUAAAAGCAACAACACCAUCCUCAUAAUGAAUCUACUCUGCUUCCACUGACCAUCAGGGCUGUGUGAGCUGCUGGGUAGAAGGGGUCAAGGUUAACUGAGUGGGGUUAAUACACUCUGUUAAGGAUAUGUCUUCUGGGUCCAUGCCAGGCCAGGGCAGUGAGGGCAGAAGAGCAGGCAUAACUCAUAGCACAGUAGAUAUCUUCAACUGCAGACAGUACCUGUCUUUUAAGGCCAAGACAGUCUAACGCAACUGUUGUCCAUGUGCAGUAGGUGGCCUUCCUAUCAGCUCUGACUACAGAACAUCGGACAUGUUCUGUUCAUUUCAAGAUGAUUCUACAUGUUGAAUCGCCACUGUUCAUUAACACCCAGCAGGUGAUCUACUGCGCUCAUGCCGCUGUGCACGUCUUGCGCUUUACCUGCAGACACAAGCUCCUAGUAGCAAUCCUUACCUUGUACACAAUCCAUAAAUCACAGGUGUACCAACCUAACCUGGAGUUUUGAUAAACAGUAUUUUUUUCCUUUUUUAUUAUUUCUUAAGAUGACAUUAGGAGAAGACUUGUCGAUUCUGACCGUGUGACACGGUGAUGCUCUUUAUUCCAAAGGAAGGGGGACUUCCAACGACGUUCAUUUAAAUCUGAGAGAAAAAAAACAACACAGAGACAUUGAUGAUAAGAGCUAGCUGGAGGAAGUGUGGGAGCCUCUUGAGCAAACAGCCUUAUCAUUGGCCCCACGUGAUUCAUGCUGCCUUUUGAUU